rnacentral:rRNA from 1 species
GGUUGAUCCUGCCAGUAGUCAUAUGCUUGUCUCAAAGAUUAAGCCAUGCAUGUCUAAGUAUAAACUGCUUUAUACUGUGAAACUGCGAAUGGCUCAUUAAAUCAGUUAUAGUUUAUUUGAUGGUACCUACUACUCGGAUAACCGUAGUAAUUCUAGAGCUAAUACGUGCGCACAUCCCGACUCCUGGAAGGGACGUAUUUAUUAGAUACAAGGCCGACCGAGCUUGCUCGACCCGCGGUGAAUCAUGAUAACUCCACGAAUCGCACGGCCUCGUGCCGGCGAUGUUUCAUUC